UUCCAACUACAGAUCGUUUUAUUAUGCCGGGCUUCCCCACUUAUGGGUUUAGUUGUGGGUUAGGGUUCUCUCGAUUUAGGGCUCCGACACAAUUCUCUCGAUUUAGGGGUUGAUUUUACUCUCGAUUUUGGGCUGCUACCGGGUUGCCUUGAUUUAGGAUCUUUUGUGCUACUAAGUUCGAGUUUGGGAUUAUUUGGUCUUUAUAUUCAGGGGUUGCUACUGUGAUUGAUUCUUUGUGUUGCUUGGUGAUUUCGAGUACUGCUGCUGGGUUUUGUUGGAUUACUACUGCUACUACUGGUGUGUUUUUACACCCAAAAGGU
rnacentral:lncRNA from 1 species